rnacentral:rRNA from 1 species
AACGCGUGGGGAAUCUGCCUUUGAGCGGGGGACAACAUUUGGAAACGAAUGCUAAUACCGCAUAACAACUUUAAACACAAGUUUUAAGUUUGAAAGAUGCAAUUGCAUCACUCAAAGAUGAUCCCGCGUUGUAUUAGCUAGUUGGUGAGGUAAAGGCUCACCAAGGCGAUGAUACAUAGCCGACCUGAGAGGGUGAUCGGCCACAUUGGGACUGAGACACGGCCCAAACUCCUACGGGAGGCAGCAGUAGGGAAUCUUUGGCAAUGGACGAAAGUCUGACCGAGCAACGCCGCGUGAGUGAAGAAGGUUUUCGGAUCGUAAAACUCUGUUGGUAGAGAAGAACGUUGGUGAGAGUGGAAAGCUCAUCAAGUGACGGUAACUACCCAGAAAGGGACGGCUAACUACGUGCCAGCAGCCGCGGUAAUACGUAGGUCCCGAGCGUUGUCCGGAUUUAUUGGGCGUAAAGGGAGCGCAGGCGGGAAGGUAAGUCGGUCUUAAAAGUGCGGGGCUCAACCCCGUGAUGGGAUCGAAACUAUCUUUCUUGAGUGCAGGAGAGGAAAGUGGAAUUCCUAGUGUAGCGGUGAAAUGCGUAGAUAUUAGGAGGAACACCAGUGGCGAAGGCGACUUUCUGGACUGUAACUGACGCUGAGGCUCGAAAGCCAGGGGAGCGAACGGGAUUAGAUACCCCGGUAGUCCUGGCCGUAAACGAUGAAUACUAGGUGUGGGGAAGGUAUCGACCCCUUCCGUGCCGGAGUUAACGCAAUAAGUAUUCCGCCUGGGGGAGUACGGUCGCAAGACUGAAACUCAAAGGAAUUGACGGGGGCCCGCACAGCGGUGGAGUAUUUGGGGUUUAAUUU